CAGUUUUAUCAGGUAAAGCGAAUGAUUAGAGGUCUCAGGACUAUUAUGGUCUUGUCCUAUUCUCAAACUUUAAAUUGGUAAGAACUCUUUGUUCUCUUAACUGAACAUUGAGACAGAAUGCGUGUUCCUAGUGGGCCAUUUUUGGUAAGCAGAACUGGCGAUGAGGGAUGAACCUAACGUUGAGUUAAGGUGCCCAACUAUACGCUCAUGAGAUACCACAAAAGGUGUUGAUUCAUCUAAACAGCAGGACGGUGGACAUAAAAGUCGUCAUCCGCUAAGGAGUGUGUUACAACUCACCUGCCGAAUGAAUUAGCCCCUGAAAAUGGAUGGCGCUAAAGCGUAUGACCGAUACUCAACCAUCAAUACAAAAGAAAGUAGUGAUGAGUAGGAGGGCGUGGGUGUUGUAAGAAGAUUAUGGCGUGAGCCUGAUUGGAACGACAUCUAGUGCAGAUCUUGGUGGUAGUAGCAAAUAGCCAAUUGGAAACGUUGGCGGCCGAAGUGGAGAAGGGAU
rnacentral:rRNA from 1 species